UGGUUCUCGCAUCGAUGAAGAACGCAGCGAAACGCGAUAGGUAAUGUGAAUUGCAGAAUUCCGUGAAUCAUCGAAUCUUUGAACGCACAUUGCGCCUUCUGGUAUUCCGGUCGGCAUGCCUGUCUGAGCGUCAGCAAAACCCUCAGCAACUAGUUUGCUGGUAAUGGGUGGGAAAAGCAGGGGCAAAGCACCCUAAUCCCCCCCCCACCUUAAACCUGCUGUGGCCUCAAGCUCUGCGGUCAAUAGAGUGGUAUUAAAAUACAUUUCUUGCGACCGGAUUGGCGAGAGGCGUUAAAACUCUUGAGUUUGACCUCAGAUCAGACAAGGAUACCCGCUGA
rnacentral:misc_RNA from 1 species